GACAGAGGGGGCAAGCGUUGCUCGGAAUUACUGGGCGUAAAGGGUGCGUAGGCGGUUGUUUAAGUCUGUCGUGAAAUCCCCGGGCUCAACCUGGGAAUGGCGAUGGAUACUGGGCAGCUAGAGUGUGUCAGAGGAUGGUGGAAUUCCCGGUGUAGCGGUGAAAUGCGUAGAGAUCGGGAGGAACAUCAGUGGCGAAGGCGGCCAUCUGGGACAACACUGACGCUGAAGCACGAAAGCGUGGGGAGCAAACAGG
rnacentral:rRNA from 1 species